rnacentral:rRNA from 1 species
UACGUAGGGUCCGAGCGUUGUCCGGAAUUAUUGGGCGUAAAGGGCUCGUAGGCGGUUUGUCGCGUCGGGAGUGAAAACAGCGGGCUUAACUCGUUGCUUGCUUCCGAUACGGGCAGACUAGAGGUAUGCAGGGGAGAAUGGAAUUCCUGGUGUAGCGGUGAAAUGCGCAGAUAUCAGGAGGAACACCGGUGGCGAAGGCGGUUCUCUGGGCAUUACCUGACGCUGAGGAGCGAAAGUGUGGGGAGCGAACAGG